UUAAAAACUUUGAUAGGGCAAAGUAGGUCGGGAUGUUUAAAUUCCAGAGAGAAAUGACUAGGCUGCAAUCAUUUCAUUUGACUCGACUGAAAUUUCACCUUGGAGUUGACAGGCUGAAUCAAGUAGGCUUGUCCGGGAUGACCGUUAACCUUUUUAAGUAAAAACAAGAGUGGUACCGCGAUACUUCGCCUCUUAC
rnacentral:ncRNA from 1 species